GGGAGAAGGAUAGCAAUAGCAGGAGGAGGAUGGAGGGAGGAUAGGAGAAAGGGGGAAGGAUAGCAAUAGCAGGAGGAGGAUGGAGGGAGGAUAGGAGAAAGGGAGAAGGAUAGCAAUAGCAGGAGGAGGAUGGAGGGAGGAUAGGAGAAAGGGAGAAGGAUAGCAAUAGCAGGAGGAGGAUGGAGGGAGGAUAGGAGAAAGGGGGAAGGAUAGCAAUAGCAGGAGGAGGAUGGAGGGAGGAUAGGAGAAAGGGGGAAGGAUAGCAAUAGCAGGAGGAGGAUGGAGGGAUAUCAAAUGCGAGGAUAGGAGGCCGAGAGCUUAAUAUGAGAGGUUCUUUAGGUACUUAAUAUGAGGGGUGCUUUAGGGACUUAAUAUGAGGGGUGCUUUAGGGACUUAAUAUGAGGGGUUCUAUAGGGACUUAAUAUGAGGGGUUCUGUAGGGACUUAAUAUGAGGGGUUCUUUAGGGACUUAAUAUGAGGGGUUCUUUAGGGACUUAAUAUGAGAGGUUCUUUAGGUACUUAAUAUGAGAGGUUCUUUAGGGACUUAAUAUGAGAGGUUCUUUAGGGACUUAAUAUGAGAGGUUCUUUAGGUACUUAAUAUGAGAGGUUCUUUAGGUACUUAAUAUGAGAGGUUCUUUAGGUACUUAAUAUGAGAGGUUCUUUAGGUACUUAAUAUGAGAGGUUCUUUAGGUACUUAAUAUGAGAGGUUCUUUAGGUACUUAAUAUGAGAGGUUCUUUAGGUACUUAAUAUGAGAGGUUCUUUAGGUACUUACUAUGAGAGGUUCUUUAGGUACUUAAUAUGAGGGGUUCUUUAUAUGAGGGGUUCUUUAGGGACUUAAUAUGAGGGGUGCUUUAGGGACUUAAUAUGAGAGGUUCUUUAGGGACUUAAUAUGAGGGGUUCUUUAGAGACUUAAUAUGAGGGGUACUUUAGG